rnacentral:rRNA from 1 species
AGCGAACGCUGGCGGCAGGCUUAACACAUGCAAGUCGAACGGGCAUAGCAAUAUGUCAGUGGCAGACGGGUGAGUAACGCGUGGGAACGUACCUUUUGGUUCGGAACAACACAGGGAACCUUGUGCUAAUACCGGAUAAGCCCUUACGGGGAAAGAUUUAUCGCCGAAAGAUCGGCCCGCGUCUGAUUAGCUAGUUGGUAGGGUAAUGGCCUACCAAGGCGACGAUCAGUAGCUGGUCUGAGAGGAUGAUCAGCCACAUUGGGACUGAGACACGGCCCAAACUCCUACGGGAGGCAGCAGUGGGGAAUAUUGGACAAUGGGCGAAAGCCUGAUCCAGCCAUGCCGCGUGAGUGAUGAAGGCCCUAGGGUUGUAAAGCUCUUUUGUGCGGGAAGAUAAUGACGGUACCGCAAGAAUAAGCCCCGGCUAACUUCGUG